AUUGCACGCUGGCGGCAGGCCUAACACAUGCAAGUCGAGCGAGGGGCGGAGGGGUGCGUAAUGUAUGGGGAUCUACCCGAUAGGGGGGGAUCAAUAAUUAAAGCGGUGGCUAAUAGCGCAACACAUCGUAUGAACCCAUAUGGGAUUAGCUAGUAGGUGGGGUAAAGGCUCACCUAGGCGACGAACUCUAGCUGGUCUGAGAGGAUGAUCAGCAAAACUGGUACUGAGACACGGCCCAGACUCCUACGGGAGGCAGCAGUGGGGAAUAUUGCACAAUGGGCGCAAGCCUGAUGCAGCCAUGCCGCGUGUAUGAAGAAGGCAUUAGGGUUGUAAAGUACUUUCAGCGGGGAGGCGUUACCCGCAGAAGAAGCACCGGCUAACUACGUGCCAGCAGCCGCGGUAAUAC
rnacentral:rRNA from 1 species